GAAUGGUCCAGCAGCAGCUCAGUCCAUGCUUGUCAACCACCCCCCUCCAUACACUCCAGCCCCGGUCCACAUCCCCCAAGGCUCCUUGUGGGAUUCCUCAGCAACACCAAUGCACUGACCGUCACUCUAUGUUCUCCUAGUUUCUGAUGAAGAUCUGCAGGUGCUUGCACAUGGUGGCACGGAGGAUGUGAAAUCAGAACUUGUAAGACGUAUUUCUUUCUCUGGAAGAGAAAUUUUUUUGGUUUUGUUUUUUGUUUUUUCUGGGGCUUCUAGACUAUCAAGUGAAUAUCAUUUUUGACUGCCAUCAUGGAUCAGGCGUCAGUUGGUCAUGGACUGUAGCGACCGGUCACUAGAGGUUAUGGCCAACUGAGGCCUGAUUGACAAUGGCAGUCAAAGGACGGCGUCACUUACAAACUGUUUGGUAGUGCGUGUAUUUCUCAGUAGCAACCUUUUCUCCCUGAAAAAUAGUUUUGUAUUUGCCAGCCAACAUGGACACUUGCUAAAUAUUCCAAAAAAAAAUCCCACUGCAUUUUCCACAAGCAUCCUCUAUGCUUUCGUUCGGGGCCAGUGACCUGAUUACUGUUUUUUUGUUUGUUUGUUUGUUUUUUCUCUUAUUGCAGAGCAAUUCGAAAACCCAGUCUCAACUCUGUACGUAUUCUUUUUUUUUUUAACAGCUUUAUUUAAACGUAGUUGACGUGCAAAACAAUUUACUCAUUUAAAUUAGGUGAUUCAGUGUCUCUACUCUAUUUACACGGUUGUGCAACCAUUGUUACAAUCUCAUCUGAGAACCCCUUUAUUCCCCCUCAAAGAAACCCCACUAGUAGUCACUCCUCUGUCUUUCCCAACUCCCACACCCCUGGGUCUAGGCAGCCUCGAAUCUACUUCCUGUUUCUAUAGUACAGUGCCUUUCUGUAUUAACCGGUUCUUAAGGUGACUAUUUCACAUUGAUGAGGUUGCCCUAGGUAGAAAGCCAAGGCUCUUUCAUUUCUUUCUGCCCCUCUCCUUUGCCUGCCUUCGACACCAAGGACAAUGGUCCAGCAGCAGCUAAGUCCAUGUUAGUCAACGGCCCACCUCCAUACACUCCAGCCCCGGUCCACAUCCCCCAAGGCUCCUUGUGGGAUUCCUCAGCAGCACCAAUGCACUGACUGUCACUCUAUCUUCUCCUAGAUUUGGUCGAAGAUCUCAGUGAGGGUCCAUCUGGUGGUCUUGAAGAUCUCAUGACAUUGGAGAUGGCAAAGGAGAGAAGCCAAGCUUACCUCUGCUGGGCUGAGAUGGCAGAAUCUCGGCUCAAGGAAUCCCCCAGCUCCUGGGUUCGAGGACUUCUCCGGCGUCCGCGUCCCAAGUAGCUGGGAUCAGGGACGCCUGCCACCACCCCCAGCUACCAUCAUUUUAUGAAAGCCUAUUUCCAUCUGGCUGAAAAAAAAUAUCGCAAACCCCUUUCUUUUCCUACUGAGCACCUGUGAACAGUGACCUGCAGUUUGUGGCUGUAGCCAGUCCUCAUGGAGCCUGGUGUUCUUACAUUUCAUUCUGAGGUUCACAUUCUCAGUCACCCUGCAGGAGAACACCCGCCCCAUCCUGGGUCAUUACAGGGUGUGCCCAUCCAUCUGCUGCAUCUGAGGAGCUGGGUCCAGCUUCUGCGGUGAAUCCAUAUAUUUCUGUGUUUCCUGGAUAAGGAAGAGGAAAGGAGCUGAGCUGGGGGAGGAAAAAGAGCAAAGCAGUUGCCGCUACAGACUGAAUGCAUUUGAACCAUCUGCGGGAUACUGGGUUCAAGGAAUUCACACCAAAUCAGAAUCAAAACCAAAACCAAAGUGCCGAUAAAGGCACGCCAUGG